rnacentral:sRNA from 1 species
AAAAACACAAGAACCUGGUGGAUGUUUAUAACUUAUUGGAGGAUCAAGGACCAAACGAUCGAGGAGAAAAGAGACACCAUAGCAAUGCAGGGCUCGACGGGCCAUCAAAG